rnacentral:rRNA from 1 species
CGCUGACCAGCUAGCCCCACCCCUAAAAAACAACAAACCAACAUUACUACCCACAAAACACCUGCUUCUAACAAAGCAAACCAUUUUUCCACCUUAGUAAGGGCGACAGAAAAG